rnacentral:rRNA from 1 species
UACGGAGGGUGCAAACGUUGCUCGGAAUUAUUGGGCGUAAAGCGCACGUAGGCGGCCUGAUAAGUCGGGUGUGAAAGCCCUCGGCUUAACCGAGGAAGUGCAUUCGAAACUAUCGGGCUUGAAUACUGAAGAGGGUCUCGGAAUUCCCGGUGUAGAGGUGAAAUUCGUAGAUAUCGGGAGGAACACCAGUGGCGAAGGCGGAGACCUGGGCAGAUAUUGACGCUGAGGUGCGAAAGCGUGGGGAGCAAACAGG